rnacentral:lncRNA from 1 species
AUGAUGUCAUGCCUGCACCAAGAAGCCAGAUGGUGUUCCAGGCCUUUGAAGCACACCCCUCUCCAAAGGGCUUGUGAUGGGGAGAGAGACAGAGAGGAGUUAUAUCUCUUUCCUGUGAACAUUAUCCUUGGGCAUGGCCUGGAGAGAAGAAAAUCCAAAAAGGAAUACUUCCCAUUCAAGACAGGUAAAGCUUAUCAUGUGUCUUUCAUCCCUUGCAAACUCCUAGUCAGAGCAGGGAUAUUUCCAGGAUCUUGCCCCUUGGACUGGACCUUAUUCAGAUGUAGAUAA